UAGAGCAAACUACUUAUCCACUCUCUGUCUCUACAGAUUUCCCUACUCUCCACUUUCAUAUAAAUGGGAUUAUACAAUAUGUGAACUAUUGUGCCUUGACCUUUUUCAAUUAUGAUUACCUUUCAAGGUUCAUCCUCGGAGUAGCAUGGAUCAGCACCUCAUUCCUUUUUAUGACUGAAUGCUGUAGUCCAUUUUAUGGAUGCACCAUGGUUUUUUUUUAACCCUUUCUAGGAAAGAUGAUUUUUAACACCCUUCACUACUCUAUGAUCCUAUGUUCAAAUGAAGGUCUACCAUUGAAUUUUAUAAAGUAAAUCAUAGUAUGAGUCACUAUGCUUCUUGUUUCUAUAUAAGUAUAAUGAUUUUCUGUGUCCUGGCCUUUCUGAAUCGUAUCUCCCACAGAUUCCAGGAGGACAGCCCUGUUGUGAUCCACCAAGCUUAUUUUCUCAGCCCCUUAGACAAUAACAUUAGACUCCCUGCCUUUAUUUUUGGGAUUCUGCUUUCCCCACCUCACUUUCUCUUAAUUGUCCUCCUGAAUACCUGAAACUGGACACUCUGGAAUAAUGAACGUCCACAGCGCUGAUUGCCCUUGCGUUUCCAUCAGAUCUGUGUCAACUAAGGACGGAUGCGACCCUUCCCGCCUAUCUUUGCCCGGUUCCCGUCUCAAUGC
rnacentral:lncRNA from 1 species